rnacentral:rRNA from 1 species
CGGACGGGUGCGUAACGCGUAGGAAUCUACCUGGUAGUGGGGGACAACACGGGGAAACUCGUGCUAAUACCGCAUACGCCCUACGGGGGAAAGCGGGGGAUCUUCGGACCUCGUGCUAUCAGAUGAGCCUGCGUUGGAUUAGCUUGUUGGUGAGGUAAAGGCUCACCAAGGCGACGAUCCAUAGCUGGUCUGAGAGGAUGAUCAGCCACACUGGAACUGAGACACGGUCCAG